rfam:Triticum urartu cultivar G1812 contig1118789, whole genome shotgun sequence.
CUCGUACUUCUUCCAUUUCGAAUUACUUGUCUUAGAUUUGUCUAGAUACGGAAGUAUCUAGCACUAAAAUGAGUCUAGAUAUAUCCGUAUCUAGACAAAUUCAAGACAAAUAAUUCGAAACGGAGGGAGUACAUU